rnacentral:rRNA from 1 species
UACGGAGGGUGCAAGCGUUAUCCGGAUUCACUGGGUUUAAAGGGUGCGUAGGAGGGCAGGUAAGUCAGAGGUGAAAUCUCCGAGCUUAACUCGGAAACUGCCUUUGAUACUAUCUGUCUUGAAUAUGGUGGAGGUAAGCGGAAUAUGUCAUGUAGCGGUGAAAUGCUUAGAGAUGACAUAGAACACCAAUUGCGAAGGCAGCUUACUACCCGAAUAUUGACACUGAGGCACGAAAGCGUGGGGAUCAAACAGG